UAUAUUGAGAGUUUGAUCCUGGCUCAGGAUGAACGCUGGCGGCGUGGAUAAGGCAUGCAAGUCGAGUGGG
rnacentral:rRNA from 1 species